GAGUGGAGCUCGUGGGGUUCGGAAGGAGAUUUUUCGCACGAUCGAGCGAAACGGAGCUCUCGGAGAGAUCUCGAUCGCUUCCUCCAAACCCUGAGAACGAGAGGGCAUGAAGAUGAGAAAACAAAAACCAUUUGAAACGAGCUCUUUGAUGAGAAAAACAAUACAGUCAAAGUACAUAGAAGGAUCACUUACUGGGCAGAAUUCUUGGCCAAGAGAUGGAAAACCGAUUCCAAGAAAUGUUUAGAAAUUUCGGAGAGCUUAACCUGAUAUGCCGAUGACGCUGUUCCGAAGGCGAAAUCUUCUGGGAAGCUGCUCCUUUGGAGUGUAGCAGAUCGAUGUUGAUGCAAUCCUUCACAAUAUAACAUCCAUGGAGCCAAGAGGAGGAAGAAGAGACGAAGAAGAGCUUUCGAUGCCUCCAUGCUCUCUGUGUCACCCAAGGAGCCGUUACCCGAUGCAAACCGCGCAGUAUGGGCUCUUUAUAUACAACUAUACAAGGCAAGAUGGAUCCCAUUUUCCAACUUUGCUAGCAAGAGAAGUUUAUUGCUUGGGCGACGUCUACCACGUCACUCAUGAACCGCAUCAAUUAAAAUGCAAGCAAAACAUAAGAAUUAAGUUCGAGUUGCUGCUUUUUAAGUCUCAAACUUUUGUUCCUUUAUUGAAGAAACGAGACUAAACAGGCACUUAAAAGAUCGAAAUCUCAAAAUUCGGAGCGCAAAAGGCCAGGGCUAGCUGGGGGGAAUUGGCACCAGUAGUAUGCAAUAUCACUUGCUUAUCUCCUACUUGGUCAAAACCAAAUUAAUCCAUUGUGUGUUCGUGGGUCCAGUGCACUAAGGCCUGCAGGGAAAAGGGGGGGACAACACAUCUCAUGGGGCCUUGGCUAAUUUGCUUAUUCUUACGUCCUCAAUUUUAGCGGUGGAAAAAGAAAUGCUGGGCCCGAGCAUCUCCCCAGCCUUAUUUAAAUCGGCAACUCGUGAGUAUGUACAGUACUAGACACCAUUAUUAGUAGAACCAGUACAAGGCGAAUGAUUGUGGAGGAGAUUGUUACAAACAGAAGGGAGAACCAAGUACAAGAAAAAAAUUGUGUAUAAAUAAUCUGUAUUAUUACUAGGAUGGUUAUUUAUUUAUUUAUUUAUUUUUGGUUGUAAGAAUAGAACAAAUUAAAAGUAAAUUAUCCUCGGAGAAUAAUAAGCCUGAUUCGAA